CGUUAAUAAACAGGAACACGCCGUGUACUUCUUUCUCGUUUCUAAGUAUAACAGAAUAUAAAAAUACCCUUAAUUAUACGUUCUGGGAACGGAUGCAGAUACGUAUGAAAUGAAACACCGACUAUACCCUCGCUAUAUAAGUCUUACCGUGGCCAUGCAGUUCAGAUAGUACAUCAACUUCGCCUUGGGAUUGUUAGGAACUGUGCAAUGUGUUCCAGUCACUUUAAGACCAACUUGGUUUCGUUGGAAAGCUAGAGCCAUGUUUAAAAUACUGAGUACGAAAAAGGUAUGGUGGUUCUCGAUGGAGCUUGAAUAGUGAAUAUAACAAUGUUUGGAGUUUUGGUUUUAUAUAAGAAGAUUAAAUUUAAAGUGGGCGUGGAAAUCAUAAAGACGACAAAAGAUUUGGUCUCUAAGGAGAUUUUUGUUAAGGAUCACAGGAUUCCAUAAUGGCACUACUGUUUGAAUCGAAGUUCG